GACGAACGCUGGCGGCGUGCUUAACACAUGCAAGUCGAACGGAAAGGCCCUGCUUUUGUGGGGUGCUCGAGUGGCGAACGGGUGAGUAACACGUGAGUAACCUGCCCUUGACUUUGGGAUAACUUCAGGAAACUGGGGCUAAUACCGGAUAGGAGCUCCUGCUGCAUGGUGGGGGUUGGAAAGUUUCGGCGGUUGGGGAUGGACUCGCGGCUUAUCAGCUUGUUGGUGGGGUAGUGGCUUGCCAAGGCUUUGACGGGUAGCCGGCCUGAGGGGGUGACCGGCCACAUGGGGACUGAGAUACGGCCCAGACUCCUACGGGAGGCAGCAGUGGGGAAUAUUGCACAAUGGGCGGAAGCCUGAUGCAGCAACGCCGCGUGCGUGAUGACGGCCUUCUGGUUGUAAACCGCUUUCGCCUGUGACGAAGCGUGAGUGACGGUAAUGGGUAAAGAAGCACCGGCUAACUACGUG
rnacentral:rRNA from 1 species